AGCAGCCGCGGUAAUUCCAGCUCCAAUAGCGUAUAUUAAAGUUGUUGCAGUUAAAAAGCUCGUAGUUGAAUUUCGGGGUCAGUAGGUUGGUCAUGCCUCCGGUAUGUACUGGUCUCACUGAUUCCUCCUUCCUGAUGAACCGUAAUGCCAUUAAUUUGGUGUUGCGGGGAGACUGGACUGUUACUUUGAAAAAAUUAGAGUGUUUAAAGCAGGCUAACGCUUGAAUACAUUAGCAUGGAAUAAUGAAAUAGGACGUUCGAUCCUAUUUUGUUGGUUUCUAGGAUUGACGUAAUGAUUAAUAGGGAUAGUUGGGGGCAUUAGUAUUCAAUUGUCAGAGGUGAAAUUCUUGGAUUUAUUGAAGACUAACUACUGCGAAAGCAUUUGCCAAGGAUGUUUUCAUUAAUCAAGAACGAGAGUUAGGGGAUCGAAGACGAUCAGAUACCGUCGUAG
rnacentral:rRNA from 1 species